UACAGAGGGGGCAAGCGUUGUUCGGAUUUAUUGGGUUUAAAGGGUGCGUAGGCGGCCCUGUAAGUCAGUGCUGAAAUAUCCCAGCUUAACUGGGAGGGUGGCAUUGAUACUGCGGGGCUAGAGUACAGAUGAGGUAGGCGGAAUUGACGGUGUAGCGGUGAAAUGCUUAGAUAUCGUCAAGAACACCUAUAGCGAAGGCAGCUUACUAGGCUGUAACUGACGCUGAGGCACGAAAGUGUGGGGAUCAAACAGG
rnacentral:rRNA from 1 species